CUGCACAUCAGACUGGGUGACAGUGCCAGACUCUGUCUCAAAACAAACAAACAAACAAACAAACCGAAAACAUGGCUCCGCUGGCCGUAGUUCGCUGACCUCUGAUUUGGAUGUUGGUGGCGGCGUCUACCGGUUUUUCCAAUCAGAUGCUUCAGCUGAGACUGGGGGCCGUGGCUCAUGCCUGGAAUCCCAGUGUUUUGGAAGGCCGAGGUGGGAGGAUCACUUGAGCCCAGAAGUUUAUCAGCAGCCUAGCAACAAACAAGACUUCUGUCUCAACAACAAAGUUAAAGAAAGAAAAAAUGAUGCCCCAGGGUCGCGCCGGGCUGGGCUGGGGGUGCGCCCUCUGCGAGCAGGACGUCCGGCCUGCGGGCACUGCUGGGGCUCAGGCUGCUGGUUGCGGGCUUGCACCUGCUGCGAUCAAAAGCCAGACCAGCGCCUGCCGCUCGGGACCCAGCUGGUGGGGACCACACUGGUGAACUCGGGUGGCUGCUGGGACUCAGCGGUCAUGGAGAGCCUAGCGGUGAAGUACCUGAGCCAGGAGGAAGCCCAGGCUGUGGACCAAGAGCUGUUUAACCAGUACCAGUUCAACGUGGACCAACUUAUGGAGCUGGCCAGGCUGAGCUGUGCUACAGCCAUCGCCACGGCAUACCCCCCACGUCCAUGUUCAGGAGCCCUCUACUGUCCUGGUCAUCUGUGGCCUGGGGAAUAAUGGAGGAGAUGGUCUGAUCUGUGCUGGACACUUCAAACUCUUUGGCUACCAGCCAAGCAUCUAUUACCCCAAAAGGCCUAACAAGCUCCUCUUCAUUGCGUUGGUGACCCAGUGUCAGAAAAUGGACAUCCCUUUCCUUGGGGAAAUGCGCUCAGAGCCCAUGAUGAUUGAGCUGUAUGAGCUGGUGGUGGAUGCCGCCUGUGGCUUCAGCUUCAAGGGUGACGUUCGGGAACCGUUCCACGGCAUCCUGAGUGUCCUGAAGGGACUUACUGCGUCCAUUGCCAGCAUCAACAUUCCCUCAGGAUGGGAUGUGGAGAAGGGAACUCUGCAGGGAUCCAGCCAGACAUGCUCAUCUACCUCACAGCACCAAAAAAUCUGCAACCCAUGUUACCAGAAGCCACCAGGGGUCGUUUUGUGCCACCUGCUCUGGAAAAGAAGUAACAGCUGAACCUGCCCCCUGCCCUGAUACUGAGUGUGUCUAUGGUCUGCAGUGAGGGAAGGUGGGUGGGUAUUCUUCCCAAUAAAGACUUAGAAUCCCCCCCUCAAAAAAAGAAAGAAAGAAAGAGAAAGAAGAAAGAAAGAAGGAAAGAAA